GGGAGCUAGCGUUGUUCGGAAUUACUGGGCGUAAAGCGCGCGUAGGCGGCUUUGUAAGUUAGAGGUGAAAGCCCGGGGCUCAACCCCGGAACUGCCUUUAAGACUGCAUCGCUUGAAUCCAGGAGAGGUGAGUGGAAUUCCGAGUGUAGAGGUGAAAUUCGUAGAUAUUCGGAAGAACACCAGUGGCGAAGGCGGCUCACUGGACUGGUAUUGACGCUGAUGUGCGAAAGCGUGGGGAGCAAACAGG
rnacentral:rRNA from 1 species